CGAAGUUGGAUUCGCUAGUAAUCGCGCAUCAGCCAUGGCGCGGUGAAUACGUUCCCGGGCCUUGUACACACCGCCCGUCAAGCCAUGGGAGCCGGGGGCGCCUGAAGUCCGGGACCGCGAGGACCGGCCUAGGGCGAAACUGGUAACUGGGGCUAAGUCGUAACAAGGUAGC
rnacentral:rRNA from 1 species